rnacentral:lncRNA from 1 species
UAAGAUCACAAGACUCGAGGGGUAAUUUUGUAUGUUAUACACACCUUUAGUUUAAGACCACAAGAAUCAAAAGUUUUCUAUCCAUUCUUAAACUUCAUGCCUAGUCAAACUAAGGCACUAAAUGAGACGGGUAAUAUAUAACACCAAUCUUUUAUACACCCAAAAACAAGAAAAAAACUGCCUAAAAGAUGGAAGGUUACAACUUUAUAUUCUUCAAAGUAUAAGGGUCCAAUCACUUGAUUUACCGGGAGAAACCUCAUACUAAGACACCUACAAAAUAAGCAUCAAAUUGGACGCGGUGUGGAGGUUGAGGAAUAGUGUAGAAGGUUAGGUGGCCGAGUGAUUUUUCUUGGUCUUACUAAGUAGAAUUUGUACAUAAUAUCAUCUUGUUUUAAGCCUUAGGUUUCUAUUAUUGCUUGUUGUUGCUUUCAUUUUGGUUAUCUUACUAUCUUGUUGUUUCCGAUGCUUUUUUCCAUGGCUCCUCAUUUUUGUUUCUGGCUGUUUCCUUUUCAUUGUAGUUGUGCUUAUGCUUCACUAACCCGGGACUCUAUUGGAAACAACCUCUCUAACUCCACUAGAUAGUGGUAAGGUCCGCAUACACACUACCCUCCCCAGAUCCCACUGUGUGGAAUCAUACUGGAUUUUUGUUACUGUUGUUGUUGUUGCUGUUGUUAUCGUUGUAGUAUUUGCAAUCUUCAAUCCCAUGAAAACAACUAUGUUAUAUUCAAUAAUCAAAUUCUGAUACAUUACAUGGUCUGCUUUAGGGGCACAAAAGGUCCACUACAAGCUUAAGAACUCUCAGUAAUUCCAAAGAAAAGAUGUCCUUAAAGAAUGCUAAAUUUCAAAACCCAACGCCUUUUUUACAAGGUAAUAGAAUUUCCUUAAUGAAAGGCAUAAAUACCCAUAUACAAGAUGUAUGCCAAAAUAGAGAAACCUCACAAAAACCAACCCCUUAUUCGCUAGCAUGACCAGAAGGAGCACAAUUCAAGGAAACCACUCAUCAGUGGACAAGAGAAAUUUUUUAAAAGUUUAUAUCAAUGGGUACCCUGAGUGCCUCCAAUUUUGGUUCCCAUAAAGCAGAACCCAAAGUAGACAAAUUUCACAUUCACGUCUAACUGAAUGUCAACAGGCACUCAUCUCCAGAAUUGCUAAAAUAACUCUUUACCAACAUCACGUAAAAGGUUAGAAUUCAACAACGCUUCUAGACAAGUUGCAACAAUGUAAUCAUGAAACAAUUGAGACUUGACAGUGAAACGGUUUCAGAGGCAUUGGCAGAAACACAAUACAAAAAGUAAAAGGUUAGAAUUAAACAACACUUCUAGACAAGUUGCAACAAUGUAAUCAUGAAACAAUUGAGACUUGACCGUGAAAAGGUUUCAGAGGCAUUUGCAGAAACACAAUGCAAAAACUUCUAAUACUGCAAUAAGGUAUUGGCACAACCAGGUUAUCUGUCAACUAACUCCUUUCCCAUCAAAUGAACAUGUGGCUGCUUCCACUGAAUCCUUGGCUAAUACCACCAUGUUAUGACUACCAUUCUUCAGGUAAACCCCGCUAUAUUUUUUCUAUAAAUAGGUAAACUUAGUUAUCUAAAUCGAGUCGUAUACUGCCCAUGUAAAAGCCAUAAGGAAACCGAUCUUCAGAGGCUCAUAUUGUCAUAUAGAAGCCAAUAACAUAUAACAUUCUCUAUUAUGAAAUAUAAUCAAAAGGUAUUUACAAGAGAUGCACUGUAAAAAUAUACUCGCCAAUAACAUAUAACAUUCUCUAUUGU